AUCUCUGUGGCACAUUUGGUUAGUGUGUUCAACUGUUAACCAAGAAGUUGAUGGUUUGAGCCCAUCCAGGGGUG
rnacentral:tRNA from 1 species